rnacentral:lncRNA from 1 species
CUUUGUUCCUAUUCGUUAAAAUUGACAAUCCACAACCUCAAUCUUUUGUUGUGAAAAUCGACAAUCACACAACCUUUGUAUCUUGUGUCUUUUGUCACACAACCUUUGUAUCUUGUGUCUUUUGUCAUGGAAAUUGUCAUUCACACAGCCUUGUUUCUUUGGUGCCUCUAGGAAAUUGAAAAUCCCACAACACUUGUCUUCAUGUAAGAAAUACCAACCUCUUUGGUACGGAUCUAUAAUGAAUCAAUAUAAUCCUAUAUAUAAGUUGUCAAAAUUGAAUCUGGUGUAGUGUCUACUACAACCCUCCAAUAUAAUAACCAAAUGGUUGUAGUAGUUUGGCCAUGUUGGUCAAGAUCGCUGGCCGAUUCUCACUUGAUGCAUACUUUGUUAGGAUUUGUUCACCCCUAGUUAGGUCCAGCCUUGGAAUUGUCGAGACACCUGACUAGAACUCCUGGUCUUAAUUAUGAUUUAAUAAAGAAGAAGCCUUUUAGAACGUGGAACCCUUAGUUACUCAGUUACUCUUUUUGCAUACUUAGGUUGAUGCAAAGAGCUUAACUUCACAAUAGGACUGAUAUCUAUUAACAAAACAAAUUAAGUGAAGUUUUGUCAAAAUUGUUGGAUCUUCUAGGUCAAUAUGUAGUUUAGUUUUUAUCUGUCUUAGUCGCUUCCUUCUAUGGAAGAUAUAUUUAUAGAUAUGUGUGAUAAGUUUCCUACUAAUAUUAGUUAGUGUAACUUCAAGGGCAGAAAACUCUUUACUUUUAUUGCUUGAUUAAUUUGGGGUUUAAAUAUAGGAAAUUGGAACCUCACAGUUUCUAUAAACGAGUAAGUAAUUGAAUGUGAAAUAACAAAAUGGAAGACCGGCUUCCUAUUCUUAGGAGUCUUUUGAUAUUUGCAAAAAAAACAUAUACAAUAGAAAUAUGAGUUUUGUCUAAGACUCGGUCCAUGUAUUUGGAGUUUGGCUUCCUCAUACUUAUGGUUAUCUGGUUACCGCCACAUCAUCAUUAUCAUCUUAUGGGUCAUCAAUACUAGCUCUAUCGCUGGAAAAAACCUUGUCCUCAAGGUUCAUUGAAAAAUCCGAAAAGUUUUCUCGUAUAUGUU